AACGAACGCUGGCGGCAGGCUUAACACAUGCAAGUCGAGCGCAUCCUUCGGGGUGAGCGGCAGACGGGUGAGUAACGCGUGGGAACGUACCCUUUCCUACGGAAUAGCUCCGGGAAACUGGAAUUAAUACCGUAUACGCCCUUAGGGGGAAAGAUUUAUCGGGGAAGGAUCGGCCCGCGUUGGAUUAGCUAGUUGGUGGGGUAAAGGCCUACCAAGGCGACGAUCCAUAGCUGGUCUGAGAGGAUGAUCAGCCACAUUGGGACUGAGACACGGCCCAAACUCCUACGGGAGGCAGCAGUGGGGAAUAUUGGACAAUGGGCGCAAGCCUGAUCCAGCCAUGCCGCGUGAGUGAUGAAGGCCUUAGGGUUGUAAAGCUCUUUCAGUAGGGAAGAUAAUGACGGUACCUACAGAAGAAGCCCCGGCUAACUUCGUGCCAGCCGCCGCCGUAA
rnacentral:rRNA from 1 species